rnacentral:rRNA from 1 species
UACGAAGGGUGCAAGCGUUAAUCGGAAUUACUGGGCGUAAAGCGUGCGUAGGCGGUCUUUUAAGUCCGAUGUGAAAGCCCUGGGCUCAACCUGGGAAUGGCACUGGAUACUGGAAGGCUAGAGUACGGUAGAGGAGGGUGGAAUUCCCGGUGUAGCGGUGAAAUGCGUAGAGAUCGGGAGGAACAUCAGUGGCGAAGGCGGCCCUCUGGACCAGUACUGACGCUGAGGCACGAAAGCGUGGGGAGCAAACAGG